rnacentral:misc_RNA from 1 species
UGGUUCUGGCAUCGAUGAAGAACGCAGCGAAAUGCGAUAAGUAGUGUGAAUUGCAGAAUUCAGUGAAUCAUCGAAUCUUUGAACGCACAUUGCGCCCCUUGGUAUUCCAUGGGGCAUGCCUGUUCGAGCGUCAUUUGUACCUUCAAGCUCUGCUUGGUGUUGGGCGUCUUGUCUAGCUACUAGACUCGCCUCAAAUGAAUUGGCAGCCAGUGUAUUGGUCUUGAGCGCAGCACAAUUUGCACUCUUACCAGCUAUAUCUGGCAUCCACAAGCCUUUUAACACGCUUGACCUCGGAUCAGGUAGGGAUACCCGCUGA